GACGAACGCUGGCGGCGUGCCUAACACAUGCAAGUCGAACGGAAGUAAGACUCCGGUUUUACUUUAGUGGCGAACGGGUGAGUAACGCGUGAGAAACCUGCCUUUCAGUGGGGGACAACAGUUGGAAGCGACUGCUGAUACCGCAUAAUGUAUUUUGACCGCAUGAUCGAAAUACCAAAGCUUUAUGUGCUGAAAGAUGGUCUCGCGUCUGAUUAGCUAGUUGGUGAGGUAACGGCUCACCAAGGCGACGAUCAGUAGCCGGUCUGAGAGGAUGAACGGCCACAUUGGGACUGAGAUACGGCCCAG
rnacentral:rRNA from 1 species